rnacentral:piRNA from 1 species
UGCUAACUUGUGUGUGUGUGUCUAG